GCAGGCGGCGGGGCGGCUAGAGUGCCCUGGGGAGGGCUGUGCCGGGUUGCUUUCUGCAGCCGCGUCUCGGCCAGCUCUCCUCGCCGUCCCCGGGGCGCUGUGCGUCUCCAGUCAGGGACCGAAGCCGCCUGCCGUAGCGGGCGGCCAGAUCCGCGUCCCACCUCAGCGCCCGGUGGACAUGCGGGAGAGAGAAUGAGCCAGAGGGACACGCUGGUGCAUCUGUUUGCCGGGGUAUGUGGUGGUACAGUGGGAGCUAUUCUGACAUGUCCACUGGAAGUUGUAAAAACACGACUGCAGUCAUCUUCUGUGACACUUUAUAUUUCUGAAGUUCACCUGAACACCAUGGCUGGAGCCAGUGUCAACCGAAUAGUGUCUCCUGGACCUCUUCAUUGCCUAAAGUUGAUCUUGGAAAAAGAAGGGCCACGUUCCUUGUUUAGAGGAUUAGGCCCCAAUUUAGUGGGGGUAGCCCCUUCCAGAGCAAUAUACUUUGCUGCUUAUUCAAACUGCAAGGAAAAGUUGAAUGAUGUAUUUGAUCCUGAUUCUACCCAAGUACGCACGAUUUCAGCGGCAAUGGCAGGUUUUACUGCAAUCACAGCAACCAACCCCAUUUGGCUUAUAAAGACUCGGUUACAACUUCAUGCAAAGAACCGUGGGGAAAGGUGAAUGGGUGCUUUUGAAUGUGUUUGUAAAGUGUAUCAGACAGAUUGACUAAAAGGAUUUUAUAGGGGCAUGUCUGCUUCAUAUGCUGGUAUAUAGAGACUGUUACCCAUUUUGUUAUUUAUGAAAGUAUAAAGCAAAAACUACUGGAAUGUAAGACUGCUUCUACAAUGGAAAAUGAUGAAGAGUCUGUGAAAGAAGCAUCAGAUUUUGUGGGAAUGAUGCUAGCUGCUGCCACCUCAAAAACUUGUGCCACAACUAUAGCAUAACCACAUGAAGUUGUAAGAACAAGACUAUGUGAAGAGGGAACAAAAUACAGAUCUUUUUUUCAGACACUAGCUUUGCUCAUUCAAGAAGGUGGUUAUGGGUCUCUUUACCGUGGUCUGACAACUCAUCUAGUGAGACAGAUUCCAAACACAGCCAUUAUGAUGGCCACCUAUGAAUUGGUGGUUUACCUACUCAAUGGAUAGCAGCAUGAGGGCUGCUGUACUACAGAAAAAGAAGACCAAAAGAUGACAGUUGUCCAUGGAAUAUGGAAGCCAGCAUGGCAGACAGAAGAAAAAUAGUUUGGGAACAUGUAACUAUUAUAAGUGGAAGUUUUGUUGUAGGAAUUAUAGUGAUCACACCACAUUUCUUGGCCUUUCAGUAAUGUGGAGAAAAAAAAAAAACCUCAGAACCUCCAAGGAAAUGCCUUUAGAAGCACUCCUCUCUCAAAAUUGACAUUCUCUCUACCAUGUCCACCAGACACAGUUGGGUUUUGUUGAUUUAUGGCAGUCUUUUAAACAAAGCCAUCUUUAAUUUUACAUACUGUAUUGUAACUAUCCAAAGCUAGUAUUGGCAGUCAUAAAUCUAUAACUUCUGGCUUUUGUUUAAUUCCAGUAAAAUCACAACAAUGACAAUGAGAUCGUCAGUAUUAUUUUCACAUUUCCCUGAGAGGACCUGGCACAAUAUUUUAUAUUUAAUUAUUUGCAGUAGUCACUGUUUUUGACAACCAAUGAAAUAGCGUCUAAAUAUCUUGUAUAUUUUUUAGCAUCAAAAUGUUUCGGUUUCCACUGCUAACAGGUGCUUGAUGUUUAGCCUAAUGUGGAUAUUUAAAUUGUUAACAUACCAAACACACAUGAUAAUAGUUUGGGACAAAAUAACUAGUAAAUUGUUGAUUCUUGGCUAUUU